CGGCGAUCAGUUAUGAUAUGCAGCUAAAACUCUGUGAGCCAGGCCCUGGGCUGCCAGCGGAAGACGUGAAGUCAAGCCAAGGAGCCAAGGCCACUGUCAGCUCUCAGUGGUUAGAAUAACCCAGAACAACCUCCUGGGAACCUGGUUGGGAUCGGACCAGCGCUGGAUGGGUGAAUAAGUGAGAGAUCUGUCAUGAGAGGGUGCUGCUUAACACAAAAUGGAGCCUGGUUCAAGAGUCAGAAAGGGAGAGAGAGACAAACAGAGUGGGGGAGAGAACGGGAGAGCGA